rnacentral:rRNA from 1 species
AACGAACGCUGGCGGCAGGCUUAACACAUGCAAGUCGAACGCCCCGCAAGGGGAGUGGCGCACGGGUGCGUAACGCGUGGGAACAUGCCCUUAGGUGCGGAACAACGUCGGGAAACUGACGCUAAUACCGCAUAAUAUCUCCGGAUCAAAGAUUUAUCGCCUAAGGAUUGGCCCGCGUUAGAUUAGGUAGUUGGUGGGGUAAUGGCCUACCAAGCCGACGAUCUAUAGCUGGUCUGAGAGGAUGAUCAGCCACACUGGAACUGAGACACGGUCCAGACUCCUACAGGAGGCAGCAGUGAGGAAUAUUGGACAAGGGGGGAAACCCUGAUCCAGCCAUGCCGCGUGUGUGAUGAAGGCCCUAGGGUUGUAAAGCACUUUCGUUGGGGAUGAUAAUGACCGUACCCAAAGAAGAAGCCACGGCUAAAUUCGUGCCAGCCGCCGCCGUAA